AGUUUCCUGGUCUAGCGGUUAUGAUUUUCCGUUAACAAGCGCGACUAGCGUAUGUUCCGGAAAGGUUCUGGGUUCGAUUCCCAGGGAAACUA
rnacentral:tRNA from 4 species